rnacentral:rRNA from 1 species
CCCUUAGAUGUUCUGGGCCGCACACGCGCUACACUGAAGGAGGCAGCGUGUACUCCUGGAUCGAAAGAUUUGGGUAAUCCGCGAAUCUCCUUCGUGCUAGGGAUUGAGGUUUGCAAUUAUCCUUCAUGAACGAGGAAUUCCCAGUAAGUGCAAGUCAUAAGCUUGCGCUGACUACGUCCCUGCCCUUUGUACACACCGCCCGUCGCUACUACCGAUUGAAUGAUUUAGUGAGGACUUCGGACUGGGACCGAUGCGGCUUUCGGGCUGCGUCGGUAUUCUGGAAAGAUGUCCAAACUGUAUCAUUUAGAGGAAGUAAAAGUCGUAACA